AGCGUACACGGUGGAUGCCCUGGCAGUCAGAGGCGAUGAAGGACGUGCUAAUCUGCGAUAAGCGUCGGUAAGGUGAUAUGAACCGUUAUAACCGGCGAUUUCCGAAUGGGGAAACCCAGUGUGAUUCGUCACACUAUCAUUAACUGAAUCCAUAGGUUAAUGAGGCGAACCGGGGGAACUGAAACAUCUAAGUACCCCGAGGAAAAGAAAUCAACCGAGAUUCCCCCAGUAGCGGCGAGCGAACGGGGAGCAGCCCAGAGCCUGAAUCAGUGUGUGUGUUAGUGGAAGCGUCUGGAAAGGCGCGCGAUACAGGGUGACAGCCCCGUACACAAAAAUGCACAUGCUGUGAGCUCGAUGAGUAGGGCGGGACACGUGGUAUCCUGUCUGAAUAUGGGGGGACCAUCCUCCAAGGCUAAAUACUCCUGACUGACCGAUAGUGAACCAGUACCGUGAGGGAAAGGCGAAAAGAACCCCGGCGAGGGGAGUGAAAAAGAACCUGAAACCGUGUACGUACAAGCAGUGGGAGCACAGAGCAAUCUGUGUGACUGCGUACCUUUUGUAUAAUGGGUCAGCGACUUAUAUUCUGUAGCAAGGUUAACCGAAUAGGGGAGCCGAAGGGAAACCGAGUCUUAACUGGGCGUUAAGUUGCAGGGUAUAGACCCGAAACCCGGUGAUCUAGCCAUGGGCAGGUUGAAGGUUGGGUAACACUAACUGGAGGACCGAACCGACUAAUGUUGAAAAAUUAGCGGAUGACUUGUGGCUGGGGGUGAAAGGCCAAUCAAACCGGGAGAUAGCUGGUUCUCCCCGAAAGCUAUUUAGGUAGCGCCUCGUGAAUUCAUCUCCGGGGGUAGAGCACUGUUUCGGCAAGGGGGUCAUCCCGACUUACCAACCCGAUGCAAACUGCGAAUACCGGAGAAUGUUAUCACGGGAGACACACGGCGGGUGCUAACGUCCGUCGUGAAGAGGGAAACAACCCAGACCGCCAGCUAAGGUCCCAAAGUCAUGGUUAAGUGGGAAACGAUGUGGGAAGGCCCAGACAGCCAGGAUGUUGGCUUAGAAGCAGCCAUCAUUUAAAGAAAGCGUAAUAGCUCACUGGUCGAGUCGGCCUGCGCGGAAGAUGUAACGGGGCUAAACCAUGCACCGAAGCUGCGGCAGCGACGCUGAUGCGUUGUUGGGUAGGGGAGCGUUCUGUAAGCCUGCGAAGGUGUGCUGUGAGGCAUGCUGGAGGUAUCAGAAGUGCGAAUGCUGACAUAAGUAACGAUAAAGCGGGUGAAAAGCCCGCUCGCCGGAAGACCAAGGGUUCCUGUCCAACGUUAAUCGGGGCAGGGUGAGUCGACCCCUAAGGCGAGGCCGAAAGGCGUAGUCGAUGGGAAACAGGUUAAUAUUCCUGUACUUGGUGUUACUGCGAAGGGGGGACGGAGAAGGCUAUGUUGGCCGGGCGACGGUUGUCCCGGUUUAAGCGUGUAGGCUGGUUUUCCAGGCAAAUCCGGAAAAUCAAGGCUGAGGCGUGAUGACGAGGCACUACGGUGCUGAAGCAACAAAUGCCCUGCUUCCAGGAAAAGCCUCUAAGCAUCAGGUAACAUCAAAUCGUACCCCAAACCGACACAGGUGGUCAGGUAGAGAAUACCAAGGCGCUUGAGAGAACUCGGGUGAAGGAACUAGGCAAAAUGGUGCCGUAACUUCGGGAGAAGGCACGCUGAUAUGUAGGUGAAGUCCCUCGCGGAUGGAGCUGAAAUCAGUCGAAGAUACCAGCUGGCUGCAACUGUUUAUUAAAAACACAGCACUGUGCAAACACGAAAGUGGACGUAUACGGUGUGACGCCUGCCCGGUGCCGGAAGGUUAAUUGAUGGGGUCAGCGCAAGCGAAGCUCUUGAUCGAAGCCCCGGUAAACGGCGGCCGUAACUAUAACGGUCCUAAGGUAGCGAAAUUCCUUGUCGGGUAAGUUCCGACCUGCACGAAUGGCGUAAUGAUGGCCAGGCUGUCUCCACCCGAGACUCAGUGAAAUUGAACUCGCUGUGAAGAUGCAGUGUACCCGCGGCAAGACGGAAAGACCCCGUGAACCUUUACUAUAGCUUGACACUGAACAUUGAGCCUUGAUGUGUAGGAUAGGUGGGAGGCUUUGAAGUGUGGACGCCAGUCUGCAUGGAGCCGGCCUUGAAAUACCACCCUUUAAUGUUUGAUGUUCUAACGUUGACCCGUAAUCCGGGUUGCGGACAGUGUCUGGUGGGUAGUUUGACUGGGGCGGUCUCCUCCUAAAGAGUAACGGAGGAGCACGAAGGUUGGCUAAUCCUGGUCGGACAUCAGGAGGUUAGUGCAAUGGCAUAAGCCAGCUUGACUGCGAGCGUGACGGCGCGAGCAGGUGCGAAAGCAGGUCAUAGUGAUCCGGUGGUUCUGAAUGGAAGGGCCAUCGCUCAACGGAUAAAAGGUACUCCGGGGAUAACAGGCUGAUACCGCCCAAGAGUUCAUAUCGACGGCGGUGUUUGGCACCUCGAUGUCGGCUCAUCACAUCCUGGGGCUGAAGUAGGUCCCAAGGGUAUGGCUGUUCGCCAUUUAAAGUGGUACGCGAGCUGGGUUUAGAACGUCGUGAGACAGUUCGGUCCCUAUCUGCCGUGGGCGCUGGAGAACUGAGGGGGGCUGCUCCUAGUACGAGAGGACCGGAGUGGACGCAUCACUGGUGUUCGGGUUGUCAUGCCAAUGGCACUGCCCGGUAGCUAAAUGCGGAAGAGAUAAGUGCUGAAAGCAUCUAAGCACGAAACUUGCCCCGAGAUGAGUUCUCCCUGACUCCUUGA
rnacentral:rRNA from 1 species